AGAGAGAGAGAGAGAGAGAGAAAGAUUUUAAGAAGCGAGAUUAAAAAUUAAAUGUGUCACACUGCUGUCUGCAAAAAAUAGAACAAAUCGCGACAACGGUCGAAGGUUCGUACAAUUUUCAACGAAGAGAUAUGCACGAGGCGUCGUCACACUUCAAAUAUUGACCAACACGCCGAACAGACUAUUCUCACAACUCAUUUCAUAGCCACUCAAACCUCGACAGUCCUCUCCACGGAGUCAGUCAGCAAAUUAAGAAAAACCUGGCUAACUAACUGGCUGG